rnacentral:rRNA from 1 species
AAGGUAGCAUAAUAAUUUGCUUUUUAAUUGAAAGAUGGGAUAAACGAUUAAUCUGUGAAAAACUUGUGUUUUACAAGUAUAAGAUAAUUUAGAGUUAAAGUAAAAAUUCUUUAAUUUUUUAAAAAGACGAUAAGACCCUAAAAGCUUAAUUUUUAGAAAAUAUUUUUAAUUUUAUAUAUAAUUUAAAUAAUUUAAAAAUUUUUAACUGGGGUAGUUAUAUUAUUAAUAUUAUUUAAAAUAAAACUUGAAGGGUAAAAGAACCUUUUAAUAAAGGUGUUGUUUUAGUUACUUUAGGGAUAACAGCGUAAUAAUUUUGGAGAGAACAUAUCUAUAAAAUUGAUUGCGACCUCGAUGUUGAAUUAAUUAAUUCUUACCAAAGCAGGCUUUGGUAGAGAAGGCUUGUUCAGCCUUUAAACUAUUACAUGAUCUGAGUUCAAACCGG